GGAGAGAUGGCUCAGUGGUUAAGAGCACUGGCCAUUCUUUGAGAGGUCCUGAGUUCAAUUCCCAGCAACUCCA
rnacentral:tRNA from 1 species